UACGAAGGGUGCUAGCGUUGCUCGGAAUCACUGGGCGUAAAGGGUGCGUAGGCGGCUUUUUAAGUCAGGGGUGAAAUCCUGGAGCUCAACUCCAGAACUGCCUUUGAUACUGAAGAUCUUGAGUUCGGGAGAGGUGAGUGGAACUGCGAGUGUAGAGGUGAAAUUCGUAGAUAUUCGCAAGAACACCAGUGGCGAAGGCGGCUCACUGGCCCGAUACUGACGCUGAGGCACGAAAGCGUGGGGAGCAAACAGG
rnacentral:rRNA from 1 species